rnacentral:lncRNA from 1 species
AUGACAGUUCCUGAAGUGCCCCCGACCAUAGCGGUCAAGAUCUUCUCAGCUGGAGCGGCGGCCUGCGUGGCAGAUGUGAUCACCUUUGCACUUUGGACACCGCCAAAGUCCGGCUACAGAUCCAAGGCAAAUGCCGGUCCUCCGGUACCAUUCGGUACAAAGACGUCCUGGGAACAAUCACUACUCUGGCAAAGACAGAAGGGCCAAUGAAGCUCUACAGAGGGCUGCCUGCUGGCCUCCAGAGACAAAUAAACUUCACCUCUCUUAGGAUCAGCCUCUAUGAUACCAUCCAGGGAGAGAAAAUUUGUACCUUCCUUCUGGUGACUGGGAUCCUGGAACGUCAUCCCAUUUGUGUGCUUUGAACAGCUGAAACAAGAGUUGAUGGAGUCACGGCAGACUGUGGACUGUGCUGCA